AUACAUUCGUUGAUGAAGAGAGUACAUGUAAGGAGAACUUGCAGCGAGCUGGGGAUGGUGGAAGCCUGGUAGUUGAUUUAUAUGGAACGCACUUCUGAGAAGUUUGGGUGAAAUAAAGUAGCCAAAUCCGGGAGCCCCCGUUAUCAGCUUCGAGUUGGUCUGACAUUCAGACAAUUAGAGUGGCACCGCGGAUUAUAAAACCGUCUCUUAC
rnacentral:ncRNA from 1 species